rnacentral:rRNA from 1 species
AGUGAACGCUGGCGAUAGGCCUAACACAUGCAAGUCGAACGGCAGCACAGUAAGAGCUUGCUCUUACGGGUGGCGAGUGGCGGACAGGUGAGGAAUACAUCGGAAUCUACUUUUUCGUGGGGGAUAACGUAGGGAAACUUACGCUAAUACCGCAUACGACCUACGGGUGAAAGCAGGGGAUCUUCGGACCUUGCGCGAUUGAAUGAGCCGAUGUCGGAUUAGCUAGUUGGCGGGGUAAAGGCCCACCAAGGCGACGAUCCGUAGCUGGUGUGAGAGGAUGAUCAGCCACACUGGAACUGAGACACGGUCCAGACUCCUACGGGAGGCAGCAGUGGGGAAUAUUGGACAAUGGGCGCAAGCCUGAUCCAGCCAUACCGCGUGGGUGAAGAAGGCCUUCGGGUUGUAAAGCCCUUUUGUUGGGAAAGAAAAGCAGCAGGUUAAUACCCCGCUGUUCUGACGGUACCCAAAGAAUAAGCACCGGCUAACUUCGUG